GAGAGAGAAAGGAGGAACUGACUUGUGCUUUCUGACCAAAGAGAUCAGUAUCCUGAGAAGAAGGAUGUGUAACACUGCCCUCCUAGACUCUGCCUGGGGCACCACCUUGCUCUCUUGGGUUGCUGUCUUUCUACUGGGAAUAAGUUCAGCAAAUUCUGAGGUCGUCCAAUCUCCACGACACAUAAUCAAAGAAAAGGGAGGAAGGUCCAUUCUGAAAUGUAUUCCCAUCUCUGGGCAUCUCAGUGUGGCCUGGUACCAACAGACUCAGGGGCAGGAACUAACGUUCCUCAUUCAGCAUUAUGACAAAAUGGAGAGAGACAAAGGAAAUCUGCCGAGCAGAUUCUUAGUCCAGCAGUUCAAUGACUAUCACUCUGAGAUAAACAUGAGUGCCUUGGAAAUGGAGGACUCUGCUGUGUACUUCUGUGCCAGCUCUCUCCACAGCCUUACAGAGCUACUGACUUUCUGUAACUUAAUCUUUCUGUUCCAGCUGGUGAUGUGCUAGAGAGGGGUUGGCUCAUGCCACAAAACCAUAGCCAAGGACUAGAAAUGCUUCUAGCUUGUUACUAAUCCUCAGAUUGCCUAGUUGAGCACACACAGACCAUUCCUAAACAUUGGGCUGGGCCAAGGCCCUCCAGCUAUUCUCAGAUCUCUGCUAAUACCUUCCAGCCCAUAGGCAAUGGCAAGAGACUCUGCUCUUUCAUGGCCAUAGGCAACAUGUUUUAAGACAAGAAUAGGAUUUAAAUAUACCACAUCAAUAAGAAUCAGUAGCCUAUGAAGUUUUACAACAUUUUUUGUUUAAGAACAUAAAGACUAGGAUUGAAAAGUACAUCUCUGUAUCUUCUAAGUCAAGGCUUUGAAUUUUCUUGCUGUUACUCAGUUUGUGUAAAAAAUAUAUAGCAGCUCACAGUUUUCUUGUAUUCUAAGAUCAGUUGGAUUCAAUGUAUAUGUGUGUGUGUGUGUGUGCAUGUGUGUGUGUAUGUGUGUUUGGGGAGAUAAUAGAUUAUAGAUGUAUAAUAUUAAGCCAGAUAAUGCUUGUUUUUCAUAGUUUCAAGGUGAGAUUUACAUUUUCAACAAAGAAAAUUUGCUAGUUAAAAGGAGAUAGUUACACAAAUUCUAUUAUCCCCAAUGAAAUCAGAGUAUUGUUCAGAUGAUUAACAUUACUGGUGGAUCAUACCUUAUUUUGAAAUGAUCCUACAAGCUAUGAAAUUUAAUGUUCUCUGCUCUAAACACCUAAGUAUUAAAUAGAAAGUGCUUUUUCCUUAGACUGACUCUGUCAUGGGUAAUGGCCUUCUUUUUGGUGGCUCUUGAUCUCUAGGAACUAGCCAAGCUUUGGGCGUGGAAGACAAUAUCCUUUCUUGGAAG